rnacentral:rRNA from 1 species
GCAUGCAUACAACAUAGUGUUAAUGGCUUGGAUCCCAUUAGAACUAUGAAGUUAAGCGUGCUCAGACUGGAGUAGUAUUGGGAUGGGUGACCGCCUAUGAAGUCCUAGUGUUUUACAUGCC